GAGUUGUAAUUUGUAGAGGGUGCUUUGGCGUUGGUUGUGGUCUAAGUUCCUUGGAACAGGACGUCACAGAGGGUGAGAAUCCCGUACGUGGCCGCCAGCCUUCGCCGUGUAAAGCCCCUUCGAUGAGUCGAGUUGUUUGGGAAUGCAGCUCUAAAUGGGAGGUAAAUUUCUUCUAAAGCUAAAUAUUUGCCAGAGACCGAUAGCGCACAAGUAGAGUGAUCGAAAGAUGAAAAGCACUUUGGAAAGAGAGUCAAAAAGCACGUGAAAUUGUUGAAAGGGAAGCGCUUGCAGCUAGACGUGCCUUGGGUUGAUCAGCCGGACUUUUGCCCGGUGCACUCUUCCUUUGGCAGGCCAGCAUCAGUUUGGGCGGCUGGAUAAAGGUCUGUUAAACGUGACUUCCUUCGGGGAGAGCUUAUAGGGCAGACGACAUGCAGCCAGCCUGAACUGAGGUCCGCGCAUCCGCUAGGAUGCUGGCAUAAUAGCUGUAAGCGGCCCGUCUUGAAACACGGACCAAGGAGUCUAACAUCUAUGCGAGUGUUUGGGUGUCAAGCCCGAGCGCGUAAUGAAAGUAAACGGAGGUGGGAACCUUUUAGGUGCACCAUCGACCGAUCUUGAUGUCUUCGGAUGGAUUUGAGUAAGAGCAUAGCUGUUGGGACCCGAAAGAUGGUGAACUAUGCCUGAAUAGGGUGAAGCCAGAGGAAACUCUGGUGGAGGCUCGCAGCGGUUCUGACGUGCAAAUCGAUCGUCAAAUUUGGGCAUA
rnacentral:rRNA from 1 species